rnacentral:tRNA from 1 species
GCUGGGAUAGCUCAGUCGGUAGAGCAUGAGACUCUUAAUUUCAUUGGGCAAAAGAUUCCUGCA